AAGUGUUGCAGGAAAUAAAUCCAAAGAUGGCGUCUUGUUGACCUUAGAUGCUAUUAAAGCUAGCGUCAGGUUUAGAAAAUCUAUAGCCGAUGGAUGGCUGAAGGUACAAGUUUCUCCUGAACACAAACGCUAAGAAAUUCAAACGCUAAGAAAUUCAAAUCAGAAACGCUAAGAAAUUCAAUUCUAAGAGAUUCAAACUUUGAACAUCGUGAUAUAUAACUUACAAGUCACGAUUCAACAUGGAGUAUUUUGUGUUUUACAGAGCUUGGAUAAUGUUAAGAAUUCGUCAGAACAUUUGGUGAUAGAUGUUUUCGCAGUUCUUAUACUGUAUGCUGUGACCAGCAAGAGAAAACCUGUUGAAAGUUUACUGCGAAACAAAAUACGCAGCGGCUGUUUUACUGAAGAUGUUCUGAGUAUGGCGUUUAAAUCUUAUGGACAGGUU